rnacentral:rRNA from 1 species
UACGUAGGGUGCAAGCGUUGUCCGGAAUUAUUGGGCGUAAAGAGCUCGUAGGCGGUUUGUCGCGUCUGGUGUGAAAACUCAAGGCUCAACCUUGAGCUUGCAUCGGAUACGGGCAGACUAGAGUGUGGUAGGGGUGACUGGAAUUCCUGGUGUAGCGGUGGAAUGCGCAGAUAUCAGGAGGAACACCGAUGGCGAAGGCAGUUCACUGGGCCAUUACUGACGCUGAGGAGCGAAAGCGUGGGGAGCGAACAGG